UUGCCCUAGUAACGGCGAGUGAAGCGGCAACAGCUCAAAUUUGAAAUCUGGCCUCGGCCCGAGUUGUAAUUUGCAGAGGAAGCUUUAGGCGCGGCCCCAGCUGAGUCCCCUGGAACGGGGCGCCACAGAGGGUGAGAGCCCCGUAUAGCUGGACGCCUAGCCUGUGUAAAGCUCCUUCGACGAGUCGAGUAGUUUGGGAAUGCUGCUCAAAAUGGGAGGUAAAUUUCUUCUAAAGCUAAAUACCGGCCAGAGACCGAUAGCGCACAAGUAGAGUGAUCGAAAGAUGAAAAGCACUUUGAAAAGAGGGUUAAAUAGCACGUGAAAUUGUUGAAAGGGAAGCGCUUGUGACCAGACUUGCGCCGGGCUGAUCAUCCGGUGUUCUCACCGGUGCACUCUGCCCGGCUCAGGCCAGCAUCGGUUUUCGCGGGGGGAUAAAGGCCCCGGGAACGUAGCUCCUCCGGGAGUGUUAUAGCCCGGGGCGUAAUGCCCUCGCGGGGACCGAGGUUCGCGCUCUGCAAGGAUGCUGGCGUAAUGGUCAUCAGCGACCCGUCUUGAAACACGGACCAAGGAGUCAAGGUUUUGCGCGAGUGUUUGGGUGUAAAACCCGCACGCGUAAUGAAAGUGAACGUAGGUGAGAGCUUCGGCGCAUCAUCGACCGAUCCUGAUGUUCUCGGAUGGAUUUGAGUAGGAGCGUUAAGCCUUGGACCCGAAAGAUGGUGAACUAUGCUUGGAUAGGGUGAAGCCAGAGGAAACUCUGGUGGAGGCUCGCAGCGGUUCUGACGUGCAAAUCGAUCGUCAAAUCUGAGCAU
rnacentral:rRNA from 1 species